CUCUCCGUUAAACCAGAGGCUUGAGAGAUACACACGCUCCAGAAACACCAAGCAGCGAGGCAGCUCUUUCUCUUUCUUUCUCUCUUUCUUUCCCUCUCUCUCUUUCUCUCUCUCUCUCUCUCUCUAUCUCUCUAUCUCUGGUCACACUGUAUAAUGGAGACCCUCCACACAGCCAUCAUGGUUACUGGAGUACCCAAGAAAGAAUACUGUGGCACCGAGACCAACUACGUAGAUCUUGGGAGCACCAACACGGUGAAAGUCACAUUCUCCGGUGAGGGAAACCAGCGAGCCAUAUUCAAGCGUAAAGGGAACCAUGAAGAACACGAAGAAGGUCACACGGAUCAAAGGAAGAGCGCAAAGGACAGUUCUUCUGAUCUCUCAGAUAUGGAUUUAAAAAUCGAAAGUUUCCUCGAGGAGGAGACCGCUGUGACGUGCCGCAAACGGGAGGAAACGGACUACACAGACAUGUAUCUGAACAGUAGGUGCGAGUCCGAGUCGGAAGACAGCGAUCCCGAUGAAAGCGAACACGACAUGCCUGUGGCCGAGGAGACAGAAUCGCACUACAUAACGACACAUGAGAUUCAGCUCACCGAACUGGACCACGACAUGGACCACGAACUCGGUCGUGCCGCAAGCUCGUGCUGGGAUUACGAAGAUGACAAUCUUGUGUACUCGUUUGUGGACUACGCGUCUUUCGAGAGCGGCGAGCAGCCUGCCGGGGAGAGGGGUCAACGACGAUCGACAAACAGCCGUCCACCAAAACUGGGUGCCACCAAAGCACUGAUCAGCACCGAGAGCGAAGGUGCGAGCUCAGACGACGGUGCGCGGAACACUGCGGGACGCAUUCACGUAUCCAUUAAAGACUCGUCCCAGGCCGUGAGCGAGUCUGUUCGCCCGUCCCUGGAUGAGAAUGACCUUCUGCGUUGUUAUCGUGAAACACAAGCAAAGAUAGAUAGUCAAGCGCACUGUUUCAUUCCUGCGCCUGGACGCCAGCAUCUGGCUAGCAAACUGAUGAAAGGCAAAGAUGUCACCGAGUACUCGAGCGGCGCAUCGAGUUCUGUGAGUGAGCUUGACGAUGCCGAUAAGGAAGUCCGUAACCUGACCGCGAAGUCUUUCCGGAGCCUUGCGUGUCCCUACUUCGACACCAUCGACCUCAGACCCUCGAGUGAGUCCUCUGUUUCAGAGCACAGCCUGAGCAUGAACAAAUGGUCCACUUUUGUUGAUUUCAAUUACAGGAAUUACGUGACACAGGGUGGGGUCACGGGCGAGCGCAAAAAUUCCACAUGCUCUGUGGAAAUGAGAAAGCAUACGGAAAGUGGAACCGUUAACAUGAACAACAUCGCUGAAGGGAAAACCCACCAGACGAACACCCUGUCGUCAAAAUAUAAAGAGACGUGCGAGCUGAGAUGCGAGACCGAGACGCGUUCGAAAUGCAUUCAGAACGUCUCGAACAGUUGCGACGCAACAACAAGCCAGCCACACGAUCAGGCGGACGUCGGCGUGGAGGGAGUGCACAAGAAAGCCGUGUUUGCCUCGAGCCUCCUGCAAAACGUCAUCUCAAAGAAAAUGCGGUUUGAGCAAGCGCGUCAGUUGGAGCGUGGUGAAAUAAGCGGUGCGCAGCAUGCCCAUUCACCACCGAAAGACCGCACCAGCUGCACGUUUUUACAAAGACAGACGUCAGAAUCAGGAUCUGUGCACUCCAUUGCCUCCAUGGAAGACGUUCUGGACAGUUCGAAUGCACCUCUCAACAAAGUAGAGAAAGAAGAGGGGGAGGAGACAUGCAAAACAUCAUGUAUACCUGGAAUAGAGAACAUCGAAGAGCCAGCAGAGACUCCACUGCUGGAGGACCACGGAAUCUGCGAAGAAACCAGCGAGGUCAUAGUACCCAAAGUGCACACUGACCGUGAUGCCAUGGCCACAACCGUGCCGGUACAGGCACCGAAAGAAAACGAGAACGCAUGCGUUGAAGUGACGAAUGGUAAAACGACAAAAAUGUCACACUUGUACGUUCCCGGGUCGCAUUUCCUUUCAAAAGAAAGGGAAGUCGUGGAACCAAUUAAACAAACAAUUGAUUCCAUCCAAUCAGACGGAAAUAAUACACACAGCAUGGACACUUCAAAAGGCAGCAAAGCCCCAGAGAUCACAAUCCGCCUGCGCAGCGUCAAGGAAAACAAAAACAACCUUGAGCGUCCUUUUAACAUCGCCAGCCUCCUGACGCCGAACCUCGCCAAGCAUAGUGGCGACACCAAGAGCGACAAAGUUCCACACUUCACAGUGAGGGAUGUCCGGGACAGCAGGUGUAAACUCCAAACGCCGAUCCAUCAGGUGCGAGACGUGCGCAAACUGGUCAAGAGCUCGUACCGGUUGGUGUCUCUGGAAAGUGGCGAGAAUAAAACCACGUCACGCGAAGAAAGCGAGGCUGUCAAAAAAGAACCAGAUAAAAACUACAAGAAGGAGAAGACGCCCAUGGUGAUCAAAUGCCACUCGGUGAACACCAACACCGAUGCAAAUUCAAACAGACGGAACGACUCGGAAAACGAGAGGUCACCGAUGCAGACGAUCUCCGAGCAGCAGGAGAUUCAGCUGAAGUCGGCCAGAUGGAAGGAAAGCUGUGAUAAAAGGGUCGAGUGUAAAAUGGCGAACCAGGUGGCACUGGAGAAGCUAAAGGCGGCUGUGAAGACCAUGGAGCAGCUUUAUGUUUUUGACCGGAACGAGUGGCGGCGCAAGACGGAGGCACCGCGGCCGGUGACGGACAGCCAUGUCCUCUCGCUAAUUACCAGCGAGGAGCAAGGAGUCGAUGGUGAGAGGCUAGAGAAAGCAGAACCUUCAAAAGUUUCAACUCCUGGUGCAGACACAAGCUUCAACAGAACAAUCACUCAUCAUCCACAACAAGAUGUUCCCAAGAUCCAGUGUUCCAACGUCCAUAGCAACAUCUCUAGCUCCAUGAGAAGCCCCUUUUCCCUCAACAUCUGCCCUUCAAAAAGCUCGAAAGCGAAACGAGUCGAGGGCGAAGUCACGAGCGCCGAAUCGGAUUCGGGACCUAAACCUCAACCUCCGCCUGUAUUGGAUUCUGAAAAUUAUCUAACCAUCCCGAUUAAGCCACGCCCCUUAGAGACAAAACCCCAAACCUCGGAACAAAUUCUCAACCCCGCCUCUCAGCCUCAGCUUCAGCCCCGCCCACCUCUUCAGCGCUCACCAGUCGUCACAGAUUCAUGGUCUCCCGAGAGCCCGACACUGACCUUCUGUCAGCCCGCACAAAUCCUUUGCGUCACGCCCCCCAUGGACCCACUCACAUCAAACACACAACGUAAACUCCUGCUGGAUCCCAUAACAGGGCAGUGCUACCUGGUGGACACGCCCAUCGCCCUUCAGCCAGUCACGCACAGACUCUAUUGCCCUGAGAGCGCUCAGUACCUGGACGUACCGGUGGCCCUGAGCCCGGCGACGUAUCUCAUCUGUCCACCCACAUUUGUACAGCCGCAUUUGCCCCCUGUUUGCUCGCAGGGCGAGAGCACAAGCGCAGGUGCAAGCAUGACAAUGGGCGGGGCUAAACCAGUCAUCAGUAUUACAUCACAGCAAGGACCACGCAUCGUGGCUCCGCCUUCUUUCGACGGCACGACCAUGAGUUUUGUCGUGGAGCACAGAUGAGUUCAGAAGUCUGGGUUAUGUACAGUAUGUGUGUGUUUGUGUGCGUGCGUGAGUGUGUGUGUUUGUGUGCGUGCAUGUGUGUUCAUGUUUAGGAGGGUGCCCUGGUUCUCACAUCGGAACGUAACAUAACGGUUCCCACAGAAACUAUGUCACUUCCUGUGCCAUUUCAGCUUCCUGUCUGCAUUGUGGUUUCAAACUGAGGGUUUUUUUUGUUUCCCAGCCGCUAGUCAUGAUGUCAUGGAGGCUGUGAGGAACAGAGGUCCGAUCGAUCCGUCAGCUUGCUAAAGACUGACACCGGCAUGUGGAGAAGGUCAGCGGAACGUUCCGGAAAAUGACGUUUAGCCAUGAGUGAGGUUCCUGAAAUUUCAGGAAAUGAGGUUCUUCAAAUCAGUGUGCAGAAGAUGUGAGGAGCCGAGGAGAAUGGAACGAUGGAAAGAACCGAAGGAUGGAAGUGAAAAGUGAAAUGUUAUUGAGGGUUUGGAAUAAACUGAAGGUGUAAGCUGAGGGGAAGUGUCGAGUGCGUGUGAAAACAAUCAUCAGACAUAUUAGCAAGCUAGCUCGGCCUAGCAACACGUUACAGAAACAAUCGGAUAUGAUAUGUGAUGUUGUUUUUAACACACACUGUUUACCAUAAGAACAAUGCAAAAAAAAAAAAAAAGAUUUCUCAAAGGAAGUAGCACCAUUUACUUCACCCUCUGUUCAGUCACAUCAGCUUGCUAAUUAACUAGCUUCUUAACUAGCUAGCAUUAUUAUGAAGUAACAAAAUCAUAUCAGUUGUAAAAUAAGAAAUUAACUGUUGUUUGUGUGUGUGUGUGUGUGUGUGUGUGUGUGUGUGUGUGUGAUAUUAACAUCAAUUUUCAGGAGUAUAUCCCGCUAAUCUCAUUGUUAAUCUCUGCUCGUGAUUUUAUCUUCUGAGAGCUGAUGCCAUUUUGCUUUGGCUUUCCUGUGUGCGCUAAUUUAGCAUCUAGCAUCAGCGCUUCUGUCGUGGUAUUUAUUGGAUCGUGAAAGACUAGCUCUACACCAACACUCCAAGUUUUAAAUAUAGACCUAUAAUCAACAUUUCUCUUUCGACCUGGCAGUGUGCGCUAGCAGCGGACUUUAAAACUGAUCUGAUUUCUCAUUUCGUUUUUUAUUUUUAAAUAAGCGAAUCGAUUUGAUUAAUACAAAGUCUGAACAAUCUAUACCUAAACUUCUUUCCAUCAUUAUUCAGGUUUAUUUACAAACAAAACAAAUCAAAAGCAAAAUAGGGUCCGUAAUGAUGCGUGGGGAAAUCUUAAAUGUGCUGACUGGAGUCACUGCGUUAAAAAGGGGCGGCGCUUAUUCAAAUUUAAUUAUGCCAUCACUUUUAUCUAAUUUUGUUGUCUCAGUGUAGUGUUUGGAAUAAAUACUAAAGUUGAUCAAGUUCGGUUACUGUUAUGUUAACUAGCAAGUAGCCACAAUUUCUAGCACGCUAGCUUUACACCAACUACUAUUUUGUGUAAUUACAGCAAGUAUAGCUAAGCUAACUGGCAAGCUAGAUAACAUUACGCUAUUAUAUUGUGUAAUUAAAACCUGUAGCCAAGCUUACCAGAAAGCUAGCUAACAUUACACUAUCAUAUUGUGUAUUUAAAGCACGUCGGUAGCUAACAUUAGGUUAACUAUUAUAUUGUGUUUAUAAAACAAGGAACUUACUAACUAAUAUUAGCAUAAAAUUUAUAUUGUGAUUCUAAAAUAAGUCACUAAACUUACUAGCAAGCUAGCUAAAGUUAUAUUGCGUUAUAUUGGGUUUUUAAAACAGGUAGCCACACGUACUAGCUAAUAUUAAGCUAACUACUGUAUUAUGCAUUUAAAGAACGUGGCUAAGCUCACUAGCUAACAUUACACUAACUAUUAAAUUGUGUAAUUAUAGUCUUUGCAACCAGACAGGAAACUGGACGAAAGUUUAAAAUCACUCCACAUGGUUUUAUUUUCCUCAAGAUUAUUUACAUACAUAAAUAAAAAAAAAGAUGAAACAUGUUUAACAAUCCGGGCUGCACGACGUAUCGCUGAUUAAUCGUCUCGCAAUACUGUAAUAUGCAAAUGAGCUUUUUAACAAACCUCAGUGUGUUUCGUGUUGUCGGAGG